rnacentral:tRNA from 2 species
GGCCUGGUAGCUCAGGGGUAGAGCAAAGGAUUGAAAAUCCUUGUGUCGGCAGUUCGAUUCUGCCCCGGGCCACCA